rnacentral:rRNA from 1 species
CAGGGAUGGCCUUAGUAACGGCGAGUGAAGCGGCAACAGCUCAAAUUUGAAAUCUGGCUUCUUUGAAGUCCGAGCUGUAAUUUGUAGAGGAUGCUUCGGGUUUGGCCCCCGGCCUAAGUUUCUUGGAACAGAACGUCACAGAGGGUGAGANNCCCGUAUGUGGCUGGAGGUCUAUGCCCAUGUGAAGCUCCUUCGACGAGUCGAGUUGUUUGGGAAUGCAGCUCAAAAUGGGUGGUAAAUUUCAUCUAAAGCUAAAUACCGGCGGGAGACCGAUAGCGCACAAGUAGAGUGAUCGAAAGAUGAAAAGCACUUUGGAAAGAGAGUUAAAAAGUACGUGAAAUUGUUGAAAGGGAAGCGCUUGCGACCAGACUUGCCCGCAGUUGAUCAACCGGUGUUCUCACCUGUGCACUCUGCUGUGGUCAGGCCAGCAUCGGUUUGGGCGGCUGGAGAAAGGCCCUGGGAAUGUGGCUCUCUUCGGGGAGUGUUAUAGCCCAAGGCGUCAUGCAGCCAGCCUGGACCGAGGACCGCGCUUCGGCUAGGAUGCUGGCGUAAUGGUCGUAAGCGACC